UAAAAUAUAAUGGCGUUAUCAGGACGGCCGCGAGAGAGUGAAGGGGAAGGCGUCAACUUUAAGAGGGAAGUUUUCUUAAGUGUUCUUAAUUAGAAGGGACCUGUUGCUUCGGAAAAAACCAGGUCACGGCCGUAGACACGCCGCCGACGACGACGACGACGACGACGACGACGACGACGUCGUCUCUACCCUGCCUCCGUCCCAUCCCCGUGACGCUCACCACCCCCCAGCAACCCUCAGACGCAGGUUCGCCCCGACGCCCUAGACUCGUAACAGUCAUUAUUUUCUUCUUAUUCUUCUUCUUGUUCGUUCCGCUUCCCACCUUUCCUCAUCGUCGUCAAUCUUCCCUCGUUCUUCUUAUCCUUAUUCUUCUCUUCCCCUCCCACUAUACGCCAUCUCCUCUUUUUCCACGUUUACUUCUUACCCCCCGGGUACUACAAUGCUCCAUAGAAUAUUUAGCAGGUCGCACCUCUUGCUCGCAGCUGAACGUUGUCGCUUUAAAAGAACGUCACCGCGACUGAGCGAGUAGUCGAGCGUGGUAACGAACACGGUAAUAUUCACGUACCGGGUGCCUCGAGAAUUCUCGUAGACGCGAACGAUUGUCUCGAUUCCGGAGCGAUUGGUUGUCGAAUCUUGCUGAUGCUCACCACCCCCAGGAAGUCAAACCUCGUCGCGAUCCAUCCUAUUCUUCUCUCCCGAUAUAUCCAUUUGAGUUUUCUGAAAAUUGAUAUCCCCGGAUCCCUCCAUGAAUGAUAGUCUAUUUGAUAUAUUGAACCUGGAGUGAUCUGUUUACUUUGUUUCGGUACAUUUCACUCGAGUAUUUUCUUGUUCGCGAAUAUAGCUCUAGAAUAUAGAAUGCCGUGAAUAACGAUAACAAAUGUUAUUUCAUAAAAAAGUGUAAAAUAGUAACAGGACUGUUCCAUAAUUAAUAUAUAUUAAUAUGUAAUACAGUAGGUAGCGCAAGCUGACGUUGUUCGUCGUCAAAAUAUCGUCGAAAACGUUACUUUGACGCUAAAGAGACGAUAAAUAACAACAUCAGUUUGUUAUCUGGGAUUUAAUAUUAAUAUAUUUUAGAGCAAGUGAAGAAGUGAAGAAGAAGUAACUGUUACUUUCGAAGAUGUGACAACUGUUUCAAGAACGCAACUUUCAACACGUUAGAUUUAAGCAUUUUAUAGUUCAUAAUUAAGUUGCAUAAAUUUUUCCACUACGUAAACAACGAGUCUGAGGUAUUUAAAUAUUUAGCUGCAUACAGAUCUGAAAAUAAUUUCAUUGGAUUCAUCAAAAUAAUCGUGACGGAUGUUCAAGUGCAUGAUGAGCAAUUCUACAAAAAACUUUUAACAUUCUAGGAAUUUAGUUUGAGAGUCCGACAUAAUUAUUCUGAUGGCCUAACAAAAUUAUUUGCAGAUCUGUAGCCAAAUAAAUUUUUAACAAAACCGUUUUUUACGUGAAUGUAAAUGCAGAUCAUAUUGAAUAUUGAAAAAAAAAGCAAGAAAUGCCACCAAUCGUCUGCGGCCAAUCGUCAAAUUUCCCAACUAGGUCGCCAUAGUUUCCAUAAGGCAUUUCAAUAAAAAUCGACGCGCCCGUUGUAUCUACUUCAAGACUCUCGCUCGCAUCGAAGGACUUUGUAAUGCGACACCGUCUCUUUUCUCGAGAUCUAGAUCUUCCGGCAUAGGAAACGCCGCCCGAAAUAUCAACGGCGAACAGUUACCACGUGCGGAUGCGCGCAUCUGUCGGCGCGGCUUCCGUUCCAGAUCUAGACCGCGAGUAUCGACGAUCGAAGGAGAGAAAAAAGACGAGCGAGAUGCAAAUUCUUUUUUCCCCGUACCCUCGCCAACCCCCCUUGGUAACUCGCACCGGUUACGUGUAACGGUUUUUCGUUGCGGGGAAAUAUACGCGAAGGUCGAAGAGAACGGGAAAGAGACAGAGGAUAAGAGGACAGGAGAAGGGCGGGCAAGGAAGGGUUGAAGGAAGAGGAACCUCCGUCAAAUAAAUUUGAAUAUCGAUGCCCAUUGAAUCCGAUCGAAGGGGUUCGGCAGAAGUCUCCUUUCACAUUGCGAAAGGGUUGCAAUUUGAAUAUUUUCGCCAGGGUAACUAGGACGUAUCGUCGGGGUACGGGAGCGAGGAGGGAGGGCUUUCAGGAGGGGUACGUAGCGACCUCCCCCUUGCUUUUUUCACUAUUUGUAUACUUCGCGAAAGGCAUUGUGCCCGCGAGGAAAACCCAACACCCAGCCACCAGCCCCGAGGCCAUUCUGUUCCAUUAUUAAAGUAAUCAGCGUCAUUGUGACGGGCGUUCGGUUUUGACUAAUAUAGAAUAUCGGUGGAGAGGGUUCCGAUCGGCAGGUAACCCGUUUCGAGGUCAAAGCAACUUCUCGCGAGAGACAAAGUUUUCACGGCUUUGAAAUGUUUCGUUAUCAAAACGAAAAAUGGCAACUGGAAGGUCUUUUCUCGUACAUUACUGCACCUCUUCUUCAGUAAGGCGUAUGUUCGCGUAUAGUGUAAUGCCGGGAGAGUAAACUACAGUUAAAAAGUAGAGAAACGGAAUGCCUGAGCAACUCUGAUGUCGAGAUGUGGAGAAUAUGCAUUUUGGAAUCGAGAUGUCUCGCGCGCAAGAGAAUCCUGUAACUUGCAGCUUUAUAGCGUAAUUAAUAAUGCCGUUUGUGCAGAGUGGCGAUAUUUAAUGGUCUGAAUUUGGUAAACGAAUAUUAUUGUACUCGCGAAUAUACGUUGUUAAAUAUGCCAGAUAAUCUUGUGAAGCAUGCAUAAAUGCGACACGUUAAAUUUUAAGUCAAAUUUAGACCAAUGACCUGAUACCAAUCAUUGAAUAUGAUUUGGGAAUGGCAAAACCGACUUAACUUUUCAUUUUGCGUUCAGGCAAAAAUAACGGAGAACCCGACGGAGGAUAUUUAAAAAUUACGACGGGCUGCGCAUUUGUGAGCGCGGCCGGCCGUCGGGGCUGGAAUUAAAAGCGGCGAGAAAGCCGAGUGUCCUGAAGUACCCUCGACGCGAUGCAGACUAUCUCCAAAUCGCGAGGCCCAUCGAGUGCCCUCGAAGAUAAAAAUCAAAUUCUAUGCGUAGCGGCAUAGGUGCGAAGCCCGUGCAUGCAUGGGUGAUCGCAUUGUCGGUCCCGGUGACGUCUUAACUAAGUCCCACAUACGUACGUACGUACGUACAUGGGAAAGGGUCGCUCGUCGCCAGGGCCAAGACCCAGAUACAUCGGUCAGAGAUUGCGAUUCCCCACAUCUGCCGCGAGGAUGGACGUCCACGGACGGAAUUAGGACAGAUCCUUGUCAGUGAACGGCUUUAAUACAAUUCAACGUCACGUCAGAACGCACGAAUGAAAUGUAACAUUGGCGACCGCUUCAUGGAACUACGUAAUUGAAAUAUGAAUCACAUUACAUUUACACUGUAACAUUUUAUUUAUAUGCGACAUUCCCAAUCUUUUUUCAACACUCGUUACGUAUGUAAUUAUUUGGAUAAAACACGAAAGAAUUACAUUAAUCCGACAUUGUAGGAAUUUUACCGUACAUUAAAAACGUACAACGUUAAUGUAAUAGAAAUCAUCUUCUGAUAUUUUAAGAGAGAAGUAAGAUCUUAACGUUUAAUAGUAAUCUUAUUAUUAACGGUAAUCCUAAUAACAUUAGUAUCGAGAGAAAGCAGUUUUGAGAGAGAAACAUUUAUGUAGUUUAAUUAUUCAAGUAUAAAGUCGUUUGUAAAAAUUGUGCGGAUAGUAAGAAAUAUAAUUAUAUUUUUCCCUGAUUAUUCAUUUAAGACAUUUUUUAAAUAUGCUAUCAUCAGAUAAUAUUUCAAAAUAUCUUAAAACGUUGCCGCCGAUUUUUAAAAUUAUUUGCACGCUCUACUUGUUCCGUUCCUUCAAAUUAUCUCGUUAGGAAGUCGAGGAUUCUCUAUCGUCGUUCGGUCGACGAUCGCAAAAGAGGAGUAUCGAAUCGUAUUUUUUACGGCGGAUAAAUGACUGCAACGAUUUGAGAGAUCGAUGCUUCCGACGAAUCAUUAAUUAUCGUCUUAGCUAUCCGUAUGAAAAUCACAUUACGAUAAGCAAUAGUUGUCAGAAUGACUGUCUCGGGGGUUCAUAGAGUCUCUCUUCUUCCCUCCUGCUAUCCUUUUUUCCCUCUUGCUUUCUCUCUCUCUCUUUCUACAAGCUGAAAAAAAUCUUCAGGUAGCUCGUUUCUCGUAUACGUACACGGAGGGGGCCCCAUCAUCUGGGCCCCGUGCGUGUGCACUCGCACAGGUACACGCGCGGUGUUAAUGUGAGCGUGCGUGCGUGCUCGUAUCAGGGUAGGAGACGCACAUGGGACCCCAUGGAAUAUGCAUGCGUUUUGUAUUCAGGAAUAUGUUAACCCUUUCGCUUAGUCUUUCGAUUGGCGUCGCAGAGGCAACACCUCGACGACGGAGCAACGUGUUCUCGGCUGUCCGUCGCGUCUCGUCAGUUGCUGCUAUUCAACGAGAGACGUGACCAAUUAUGACGAAGCGAUUGGCACACAAGUACGAGCGUGUGUAUAGAAUACAUUGUUGAACUUGGAGUUAUUUCGGUUGGCAGACGGCCGAAUUUGAGGACCGUUAGGGACUCGGCGUGCCUGCGAUAUAAUUAUCACGAGCGCCAAUUAAGUAUUCUCGUUCGCGAUCGAUUUGCUCAUUCGUUAUUAAUUGCGCAUGUUUAACGCAAUAUCCAACGAUAGUUUUCGCUAGGCAUCAUCCUAAAAACUGUUACACUAUUCCAAAAGAGAAUAAAUAAUUUUGUAUUUAUAGCUUUUCAAAAAAGUGCGCACUAUUAAAUGCUUACAAUUAUCUAUUUACAAUAAUUUUUAUUAAAAUAUUGCUAAAUAUUAAUAAAGUAUCUUGCUUACAAUUAAAUAUCGUGACAAAUGAUAGACGAUUUGCGCGAAAGAAUCGCUCGCUGUACCUUAAGUGUGUAAUCUGGCGCGAAUGGGCGCGGCAAAUUUCAGCUUUGGCAAAUUCCGGAGGAAAAUUAAGGUACUUUUUCUCGACAGGUUAAAGUGUCAAGAACUUAAGACCUCGAGAGCAACCCCUCUUCGGGGUGUCGGGACUGCUUAGAAACUCUUAAAGGGUAAUAAACUUGUUUCACGUGCACGCGUCGCUUAUUAUAACGAGUUUGAGAAAUGCCGACAGGUUCACGUUCUUCUGUUCAAGACAUUCGCGUCGGGUCGCCAAACGGGAUUACAAAACGAGAAUUCAAACGUUAACGCGGACUCUUAUGCGGCUUGUGAUGUUUAUGUAAAUGACGUGUAACAAUCGCAUUUGCGCACUCCUUACUGUGCAAAAGUAAAAAAAAAAAAGAAUAAUAUUUCUUUCUUUUCGCUUGUAUUUUAGAACCCAAGAACGCGCGAAGUUAAAUGUUCCUUGCGACUUGGAGAGGCACAAGUCUUUCCUCGCGCGACAAAACGAGACUUGAUACGCGUCGUGUCGGAAUCAUAGGAACGGAAGCCAUCCUACCGGAGGGCCCUCCGGUAUUAAUGCGAAGGAGAAGCCCUCGGUUCCCCAAUUCUCCCAAUCACCGACAUAAAUAAAUCCCGCGCUUCCCGUCUAUUCCUUCGCCGUCGGCUGGGAUCUCCGCCACUCCAUCAGGCAUCGCGAAUACGCGUCAGCAUGCACGAGAGGAAAAAGGAAAGUGAUCGGAGAUAGGACGAUUGUGCCGCUCCCGCGAUCGGAUCGGAGAUCCAUCGUUAAGCCGCGCUUACUCUCUGCCAGUGCCGCGGAACGGUGUGUAAUCAGGCCGACGUUCUCGAUUUAUUUGAGACAGCUUUAUCACCGCCGCGGCCGUACAAUACGGCCGAUAUAUUGGCGACGAUAAAGGAGAUAUAUUUUUGCACUUUCUCCCGGGUGACACGUCGUUCGCGACGCCCUCGCCGCGCUCGCGAAACAGAUUUAUCGCCGUUUCCGUAAUGUACAUACCAUUGACGUAUUACAUUAUCAAAUAUGAAUGGCGCGCAUAUUUUUAUUUUUGCCCAGCGAACACCAGUUAUAAAAUUGUUAGUUGUAAUUUUCCAUCCAACAAUGUAACUGGCUGGCACACUCUUUAUAUAACAUUUACAUUGUUGAGUGAGAAAUUAUAACUAACAGUUUUAUAACUAGAUGCUUGCUAGGUGAAUUUUUUUCCUAGUUGUUUCUAUUUUUUUAUUGUAUCUAUUUUUAAUACAUAUUUUUUCUCGGAUGGCAAAUUUUUUCGUCUAAUUGUAAAAUUUCCUCUUGAGAAAUGUUUAAAUGAUAACCUUGGUAGAAUAUGAAUGACACUCAGUUUUUGUCAAAUUUUAAAGCGCCUUGUCGGCGUUAAACGGCGAAAAUAACGCAACGAAACGCUAUAAAUUGGAACAUGAGAAGGCAACUAUAUGGAAUCCCGUGGCGGAUUCUUAGAGGGGAAGGGUUCUUGGUACAACGCUUAAGCAUGGACUUUAACCAUUAGUCUACGAGCCAUUAACUAAAUUAUGCAAGCACCGCCGAACUCCUGCAAACGUAGCACGCGUAAACUUCAGCCAUCGCGUUGGGAUCCGGAUCGAUCGAAUUAUUCAUACCAUCCACAUAUGCUGCUCUAACUUACGUUCAUCAUUAGCCCUUCGCGACCCAGUACAAAGUUCCGCAGUCAUUUUUGCCCGUAAACUCUGCCCGUAAUAGAUACCACGCGCAUUACGUUAUAAUGAAUAUUAGUACACGUCGUUGUUCAAUUUUUUGUUCCGUAACAAGUAUCUUGAACGUAUUUAUUACUACCUAGGAGAAUAAAUUAGGAAUACACACUAUUACGAAUAAACGUAUUUAAAAAAAAACUUGUCCUCGCGACGAUUGACUUUGCUUAGACAGUUUCUAGAUCUUUUUGCGUGUCUUUGAAAAGAAGCAAUUUAUCAGGGGCGGUUCGAGCAUGAAUUGAUUCUGGGCUGAUUUGCAGCAUACCCUGUCCGAGUUUUUGAAUUACGCGAGAAAGUAAAACCCCUGAAAUUAGACUCGAUCCCGAGAAUGUCCCGCUAGUGCACAGGUGUGGGUCACGAGAGGGUCGUUAACGCGCAGCCUCGACUUAACUCCCGGCGAUUAAUCUCCCUGUGCUAAUUAUUUAGCCGGUUACCGGGAAAGUCCCGGACGGUCGAAUAACGGCGUUCCGUUAUCGGAUGUAGCAGGAUCGUUCGAGUGGAGUAGCGGCUGCGGGGGGGGAGGGGAGGG